GUCGGCCGAACAGGCGGAGAGGAAGAGGCCACAGAAGGAUUCUUGCAUCCAAAUGGUAUGUUCAUUUUUGCCAAUUCAUGAUCCAUCAUUACCUGACUCACAAUGUCCAGUGGACUCAGCUCACAGUGAUUGAUGAUUGAUCAAUAGCAACACGAUUUGAUUCUCAAUUUACAAGUUGAUUUCACCGCUAUGGAUUGGAUUAAUCUGAUUUUUGAUAUCUUGGUUUAGUGAGUUUCAGGUUCACGGUCUGGAUGGUGGAUUCGUUCUUCGAUGGCCAGACCAUCCAUGUCAAGCAGCGGCAUGAGAAGAGCUCCGGCGAGCUCAUCAUGUGCCGGUGCAUCUCACCUUCAAGCACAUGCUGCAGACUCCGACUGGUGUGGCUCCGUUCCUUCCCAGUCCUAUUUUUAUUUACUCUCCCUUGGUUACUGUUUGCCUCAAUCUUGAUUUGUUUUGUUGGUUCAUGUUGUUCAUUAGUUCUUUCUUUGCUGGAUGUUCGGCCCGCUGAUGCUGCAUGGAAGCAUUCAAAGUGAAAAAAAAUCUUCAUAUACCUUCCUGUAAGUGCAUCUCCCCUUCUUAAUUUGGGUUCUCUCGCUGUCCCGCUUACCUGUUCUGCUUCGCCCAUCAUUCAGAGUUAGGUUGGUUCAUGAGAUCAGAUAAUGUACUGCCAUUUAUUUUACCCAACUGCUACAUUCAAGAUCGAGGAGUACAAGUGUGUAUUGAUCUGAACACAAAGUGUUACAAUAGCUUAUCUCUGCAAGUGGAUAAGGUGGUCAUAUAUCAGCCUGCACUUUUGGACCAAAACACUUUUACAUGGGCUUCUUCGGAGGAAAAGGAAACCCCACCUGAACUUUUAGCUUUUUUUAUAUGUGAGAUCACUUGCUGAGUUUUCCCACAUGAUAGAUUUUCUUAUGAAUUCAUGGGAUUUUAGAUUUUAAUCAGGUCAUGCAGUUCUGAGUUUUAAUUCAUGUGCAAUAGUCAAAAUAUUGCAGGCUUGAACUGAGUAUUUACAUUUCAGUUAAAUUUUGUUCACCAAUGUCAGCCAAUGUGAGAGCAAAGUUUUCCUCCGAUUAUUCUAAAUUAUCCUUGGACUAUUCUGAAUCUGUAAAUGGAAGUUGAAUUCUGAAUACAUCUAUGCCAUCUAUAAAAUAAGAUGGCCUCGCGUGCCACUGUGCAACACCACGACGAUUAACAUCACCCAGUGAACACUGAACAAGCCUCGAAUCAAUAUGCAUUGGCGAUUUGUGGUUCUGUCCCGUUUAGUAGGGUUGCAUCUCUUCCAUAAUCUUUUGGUAAUUUUGUAGAUUAGGAAGUUUAAUUCUUUUCCGAUGAUAGUUUAAUAGUAGUCAAGAUAUGCGAUCUGCAUGUCCAUUUUACUGUAUAUAUCUGUUUUUACACUUCUAUUAUAGGUGUGGGAGUAUUAUGCCGAGCCUCCCCAGCAAGGUUUUCAAUAUUAAGGGGGAAAUUUGAAGGUGUAUAAGGUAAAGAGACAGAGCUCUAGAUACAUUUACUAAUAAAUUUUCUUUAUACCUUGCAUUAUAAUUACAUAUGGGAAAUACAGAUGAGGUGCCUGAUGUCAGCUACAAUCACAGAUCUAAGAAUAUGUGUUCAUCUGGAAGCCUAUAGACAGAAAUAUGUGUUCAUCUGGAAGCCCAUAGACGCUAAACAAUAUUUUAGUGAUCUUGGAUGCUAUCACCUACAUAGACUAUUUUCCCGUAAUAGUGUGCUUCCAGUUUGUUUGGUUCAUGGACGGUCCGAUGGCAUUUCACCUAGCUCUUCCAGUUUGUUGGUUCAUGGACGGCCAGAUGGUAUCUCCCCUAGCUAACCUGCUUUAAAGUAUCCGGUUGCUAAACCGGCAAAUACUUCUGCAAUUUUCGCUAGCACUAUAUAAUACAUCAAUUGGUUUCUUAUUGUUGAAAUUUUAAGAUCUACAAAUUAGAAGAAUUGUCUUUUUUUAUAGGAUGCCUGUUUUGUGUUGCAAAAUUAGAAGUAUUUUCUAAUGUGGUGCAAAAUUUUGUGUUGUUCUUAUGGCCCAUGGUCCUACGUAAAGUAUUCCAAUACAUUUCCACAAAUCAGUUUUUUAUUUAUUUUUCACGUAACACAUGUUCAUGUCCAAUCAGGGAUGGGUUCAAGCGGUGCUGGGACAUGUAUAGAGAAGGAGCUCAUUAUAUAUGGAGACAAGUUUUGAAUUGGGGCGUGUUGCUUCCUACCUGAUGGUGUAGACGUUAGAUGAGGGAUCUACAUAUAAGUAGAAUGUCACAUAUAUGGAUGUUGUAUCUUGGACGAUUCAUAGAAAAGAAGCCAAAGAACGAUUCAUCAGUUGCAUAUCUUUUUUACCUUCUACAUGUUAUUUUUUUCUCCAUAAGUUGGUCUGCACUUCAAAAAA
rnacentral:lncRNA from 1 species